rnacentral:lncRNA from 1 species
UUAGUUAAAAUAGCAGGUUUAACAUCAUCCCUCUCAUCUCAUUAACUAUCUCCAUUCUCCUCACAGCCACCAGAAACGACCUUCAACCACCUGGAAAACACCAUGGCAGCCAGCAGCUCCAAAUGGCAAGCAACAAACCACAAGAUCUCCACUAAAAUCGACUCCAAACUACUGUUCUCAUAGCUCUGAGUAGCGAGCUAAACUAGCCCCCGAACAAUCUGUUCGAAAAAUAACUCCGACCACUGUCAGUCAUUAUUCCUUUUCCAUCUCCCCUUUUAAAAAUUUUCCUUUGUUUUGCAAGUACUUCAGUGAGCUAUGAGCUCUUAUUCCAGCGACCAACGAAUCCGGCGAACAAUUAGCUGACCCAAAACCACCGGAAAUAACUGCAGAACCACCGGACAACAAGACCCCGACUCCCUUCACCCUCUUUGCCAGAAAACUUGAGCUCGAAGCUCCAAAUGCCCACACACAGAGCAAUUAAAAACACGACUACUUCGUGAUUCCAAAUAGGCCCAGCAACGACAAUACUCCGGUAAGUCGAUUACCCUUUUAACAUUGCAUUUUAUAUUUGUCUGUGUCAAAUUUUAAGUUCUUAUUGUUAUCGUUUUCAAUGUUACUGUUGCUUUACUAUUUGUUUUACAGUAAUUUUAUUUGUUUAAUAUUAUUGGUUCGUGUUUGUUUAAUUUUAAUGUUGUAAUGUCUGUUAUUUAUUUAUUUUAUGGAAUUAUUAUUGUUGUGUUAGAUUCUAUUUAGUAUGGCUUUAUUUUGAUAAAUACAGAUGUCUAUGAUUGUUUCCCAAUUCCUUUGUUAUUAGUUUAUCUUAUUUUAGUCUCUCAAUUUAUGUUUGAAAUCUCAUAGUCACACUUAUACUAUAUUAAGAUGCUAUUAUUCCUCUAAAAUUUAUUUUAUUAAUAAUAUUUUAUCUUUUUUCGGCUUACGUGACACUAUCUUGUGAGUGCAACGUUGGUUGACUUUUUUUAAGUCAGUGCAACAUAGGCCGAAAAGGGGUAGAAAAUUACUUAUAAAAUAAGUUUAAGGGGUAGUAAAAUCUUAGCAUAGCAUAAAUGUGUCUCUAGUUUUUCGGGCAUAGAUUGAAGGGGUAAUUGUGCAUUUUCCCAAUAUAUAUAUAUAUAUAUAUAUAUAUAUAUAUAUAUAUUACUGUUAUAGUUUUGGUCAUAUAUGGCUGCUAUUAUUUAUAAUGUAAAUCUAAUGUUCCAGCCACUUUCAUGUUAAGUGGUUCCAUUUAGUCAAUUAUUAUUUGCAUUUGUUAGUCAUGUCUCUAUUUUAGUUAAUCAUUAAUUGUUGUUUAUUCGUUAUUUAUCAUCUCCGUUUCUUUAAAUUAAAAUAUUACUGGUUGAUUGAUUUUAGAUGUUCUUAAUUAUUAAUUGUUGUUUAUUCUUUAUUUUAUCAUCUCCGUUUCUUUAAAUUCAAAUAUUACUUGUUGAUUGAUUUUAGAUGUUCUUAAUUGUUUCUAAUUAAGUUAUUAGUUGGGUAAAUCUUCAUGUUAAUUUAAAAUUUGUCGAUAAUGAAAUUAUCGUUGAUUUUGCAAUACCUCCCAUUGAUAAAAGAUAGAAAUGUAGUUUAUGUUUAUAUUUUGUUUGUCAAAUUGUCCGAUGAAAAAAUUAUCGUCGAUUUUCAAGGUCUCCCAUGUUAAUAAGACGAGUUUUUAUUUUUAAGUGAUUAUUUGAUUUAUUCAUUAUUAAUACUUUUACUAAGUGUUUGUGCACGGAGGUGCUUCCCAUUGAAGCUAUUCUAAUGAAGUUCAAAUUAUACGUUUUAUUCAUUAUUUUUUAUAUAUUGACGUUAGGCAAACUUAGGUCAUUUCUUAUUAGAUUAUUUCAUUUUAUUACUUGUGUAUAUCACAUGUUUAUUAUACUUGUAUAUUUGUUUUUAUCUCUUUCUCAAUUUGAAAAACAAACUUAGUCGGGAACCACAAAUGUGGAUUUCAAAGGAUGCCUAACAACUUUUAUUCAGAAUAACUUGAACCCCUUACCUCGAAUCUGUGUGUUUUGUAGACAUUUCUUUUAAGUUAAUUUGUUAAUUGUUUUUCUAGUUUUCCUGAAAAUUCGAUUUGUGAUUUCCUUUUAUUCUUUCACUCCUUUUUAAAAUUAUUUUAAUUCUCGAUUUAAAUUGAUUAACUAUAUUGCAAUUGAGUCACCACGAUGUGGCGCCCUCACAAAGAUGUCAACAAGUACUUCUUCCUCUUAACAAUAUUUCUUGUUAUGUUUGUCAUUAGGCCAAACAAACUAAAAUGUUGUUAUAUUUAUCAAGUACAAAUAUGAAUUCUCCUUUUGUUUAAGUUUAUUAGGAUGUUUAACAUGCUCCGAUUGACUAAAAUUCUUGAUAUCGUUAUUGUAUUUAUUUCUUAAUGAUUGCACUAAAUUCUUUUAGAUAUAUGUGAUUCAUGAAAAUUUUGAAUCAUUCAAAAAUUUCAAAGAGUUCUAGUCAGUGGUUGAAAAUAUUUUUCACACCUCUAUUUCGUAUUUUCAAUCUGAUCUUGACUGAGAAUAUGCUAAUCAAAAUUUUAAAUCCUUCUUCCAGCAAAAUGGCAUCCACCUUUCUCUUUUCUCACAUGUAUGCUUAAAACGUAGGGCCGAGAGUAAACAUAGACACAUCUAAUGUUCUUCGUUUCCUUAUUUUUUAUGUGUCUAUAUCUUUUAAUUUUUGGGGGUGAUGCUUGUUUUUAUGCUUUCUUUCUUAUUAACGUAACUCCUCUUCCAGUGUUGUGUUAUUAAUCUCCAUUUGAUUUUAUGGUCAUAUACCUGAUUACAAUCUAAUUCGUGUGUUUGGGUGUUUUUGUUGUCCCUUUGUGGCAUUUAAUAAGUGUUCUAAGGCCCACCCUCUAUCAAAACCAUGCUUGUUUCUUGGUUAAUUAGAUAAACAAAAAGAUGUUAAAUGUUUUUGAUCCUUGCUCAAAUGUUACUCUCAUCUCUCGACAUGUACAUUUAGCUGAGACCUCCUUCCCGUUUGGGAAUCUAUUUGUUACUCUUACGCUAACUUCGUUCACCCAAACCUACCUCAUUCUCACUUAUUUUUUUAAUAUAUAAUUCUAUGUCUUUUACUUCUCCUUUAUAUAAUACUGAUUUUGGAGAAACUUCAAAAAUGAGUAGUAGUUCGGUUCUUACCUAAUCAAGAUCACAUUUCAAAAGAGGAGCAUUCAAACUUCAUUGAUUUCACAGAUUUCCAAACAAAAUAGAAGUCUCUACACUCCUUUAAAUAUGGAGAAUAUCGUUGUCAAUUCUCUUCCUUAAACUAGUAGUGUUACUCCCAUCCAACUACUCGUAAUGUCAACUACGGACCCCUCCUCUAUUACUCAUGUUGAAGGAGAUAUUUCAUCCCCUGUCCCUUUCCUCGCAAACCAUUUGUCCAUCUAAUAUUCUUCAAAUAACUUCCUCACAAUCACCCAUCGUAAGUCCUCGAACUCAUCAUAUUGGGACUAAUUCUAAAGAUAGGGUUGCUCAAGCCUCAUGUCCUCCAUACUUAACAGCAUCCAGAUGUUCCAUUUCAUCUGAACCCACAUCAUUUUCCCAAGCUUGUAAAGACUUAUUGGAUGCAGGAAGUGAGUUUCAAAUUUGACUCUCUUGUGAAAAAUAAAACUUGGAUCUUGUUGUCGUCUCCUCCAAAUGAAAAUAUUGUUGGCAACAAAUGGGUGUUUCAGAUCAAGUUUUGGGCCAAUGGUCCUGUUGAAAGAUUUGAAUCUCGUUUAGUGACCCAAGUGCUUGUUUUAGCAGCCCCCGACGGACUAUUUUGAGACUUUUGAUCCUGCCAUUAAGCCUAGCACAAUGCGUUUGAUCUUAUAUUUGGCUCUAAAAAGAGUUGGCAUAUGCACCAACUUGAUGAGUCAAAUGCUUUCUUGCAUGUUGAGUUAUCCGAGACUAUUUAUAUGCUCUAACCGAAGAGAUUUGAACACGCAGAUUAUCCCGAUUAUGUGCAUAAGUUGCAGCUUGCUCUAUAUGACCUUAAGAAAUCUCCAAGGGUUUGGUUUCAUGGUAAUUCUCAUUUCCUUCAUGAUAUAGGUUUUAAGCAAUGUGUUUCAAAUAAAAGCAUGCUCAUUUUUCACUCAAGGGUAAUAUUUCUCCACAAUUUACUGCACAAUUUAUGAAAUCGAGAAAGGUUUGGGUUCAAAGGUGAGCUUAAGCACUACUUUUUAUCCUGAGACAGAUGGACAAGCAACGCAUACUAUCUAGACCAUAGGUGAUAUGUUGAGAGCUUAGUGAUUAAAUUCAAAGGGAACUGAGAUGAUCACAUACCUCUCAUUAAGUUUGUUUACAACAAUUACCAUUAGAGCAUCCAAAUGGCUCCAUAUGAGACUCUUUAUGGGAGAAGAUCUAAAUCUCUUACUGGGUGGUUAGAAGUUUGGGAAUCAGGGUUAAUAGGACCAGAGUUAGUUUACCAUGCCUUGGAAAAAGUGAAAAAUGAUCCAAUAGAGGUUGAAGACGGUGCAGAGUCGCAAAAAGUCCUACACAGAUGUUAGAAUAAGGCCGUUAGACAUUGAGGUGGACGAUUGGGUAUAUCUUAAGGUUUCACCCAUGAAUGGGAUUAUGAGGUUUGGUAAGAAGGAAAAACUUAGUCCCCGAUAUAUUGGACCUUAUAGAAUAUCCAAGAGAGUAGGAAAUGUAACUUAUGUGUUGGAGCUACCAACAAAAUUAGUAGUGGUUCAUUCGGUAUUUCAUGUAUACAUGUUGAAGAAGUGCAUGAGUGAUCCUUCACUUAUUGUACCUACAUAGUAUGUUGGUAUUAAAGAUAGCUAGUCCAAAAAAGAGAUUCCGGUAAUAAUUUUGGAUCGUUAUGUUCGCAAGUUGAGAACAAAGAAAGUUGCAUCAGUCAAAGUCAUUAGGAGAAAUCAAUUUGUUGAAGAAGCAACUAGGGAAGCUGAGGUGGAUAUGAAGAAGAGAUAUCCACAUCUCAUUGAAUCUGGAGAGAAUGUAUAUCAAGGUACUAAAUUCUCUUCUUAUCACUUUAUAAGACUAUGUGUAAGAAUGUUAUUACUUGCUUUUGUUUGUUGAGUGCUGAAAAAAUGUUACUACCCUUAGCUUAGUGAAAAAGUUCUUAUUCGAGGACGAAUGUUCCUAAGAGGGAGACAUUAUAACAUCUCGUAGACCAAAAUAUCCAGGAUUUAACAAAUAAACUAAGAGUUGUUAUUUUUGGAAGAAUAGGAAAAAUCUGGAAAAUUUCCAAAGUGCAAAAGUGAGUUUUUGGUCAUUUUCAAACAACCAUAAUUUGUAUCUCAAGAUUAGUUAGAGUCGGUUCUUAAUAUGGUUGGAAAGCCCUUGGAGAGUUAUUUCUAACACCGCCGGGUUUGCGCAUUUUCAAUAUCGUAUGACGGAGAUAUGUCUAUUGGAAGUUGGGUCGUUGGACUGAGGAGUCCAAUCUGGAUUUUGGUAAAGGUAAAGUGGUCUUUUCGCUCUACUAUUUCCUAAUUUUUUAAAAGGGGUUAUAAGGGGUAAAUCUAAGCCUUAAUCACUUUUAAAAAAGUUGAAUACACUUACAACUUGGGAGAAAAGAGAAAAGAAGAAGGAGAAAGGAGAAAGGGCCAAGAAUUUAUCAAGAACACCAAGAUAUUUAAGUGGAAUUCGUCAGGGUUGAGAUAUGUGAGAUAUUUUUGUGUUGUAUUCUUCCACCUACACAACAAUAUGUUUAUUUCAGUGCAAUUAUAGUAGAUUUAUUUAUGAACAUUGAAGUUCUUGAUGAAAAACCGUUGAAUUCUCAUUUGUUGAGUUGUAGUAUACCUAUGGUUAUUUGUUUUAUGUUUUCCGACUGUUUUAAGAGUAUAAACUAUUGGGUAUUGAGAAUUUUAGUAAUCAUAAAUGUUUGGGGUGAGAUCCAUGGAAGUUUAGAAGGUUUAGAAUUAAAAAUCAGAUAUAAAACAUUGGGAAUUCCAAAUGACAAGCCCUGCUGCGCCGCGUCUGCCAAAGCCCCUCAGAGCAGACCCUUAGGGCCUGGCGCACCACGCAAGCCAAAUCCUAUUGGGGAAGUGUUUGUCCAUCAGGAUCUGAAUCCCCGCGCCUCUCAUAAUGCUUGAGUUACAUGGAGAUCUCAUUUUACCCUAUAUUUUCGUACUAAUUCCUAAGUGAUAUACCUAUAACUCCUAGUUGAUUCCAAAACUCUAAAGUACAUCUAAACUCAUCCAUAGACAUGAGAUCAUGGUCCUUUAAUCCAUAAUAAAAUUCAAGAAAACUUCAUAUCAAAGUCAAAGAAGUUAAGAGUCAAGUAUAAAAGUUAAGAAGCAAGUCAAUGUGAGUUCUUAAAAUUUUCAAGAGUUAAACAAAAAUUUCUACUUUGUUUUAAGGAUCAAGCUACAAGUUGAGCAAUCAAUAAGGAGUUGAAUCUAAAUCUAAAAAUCUAUAAGGUAAAUUGUAUUCCCUGAGAGUUACGUUUCAAGUAAAGCAAAGAGAAAAGAGUGAGUUCAUGUCUUAAAAGCUAAAAGAGAACUAAGUAGUACCAAAGUGUUACAAAUGUUUUCAUAUUUUGAGAAAAGAAAGAAGAUAGAUUUCCACAGAGCUUUUGGCUUGUUUUAGAAAAGGGGAACUAUGAUUUCCAACAGAUCUUUUCAAGCUAAGCUUGAGCAAUUACCUCAAAAUAGAGAAAAAGUUGUUUGAAAAACAUAUGAACUAAUUAUAUUGGGAGUACCAUUGAGCACCGAUAUGGGGAAGCAAGUUCAUAUCAACUCAAGUCUCCAUAAACCAUGUAGCCAACAUGGACAUAUAAAGGAUCAUAUUUUUUAAAUGAUUCCUUAGUGUUUUUUAGCCUAGACUAGUAAAUUCACUUAGUAGUUCAAGUUCUAUACAAACAACAAGGUACAUGGCGGUCCUCUUGCAACGUGAGGUAAGACAUUAUACCAUCACUUAUUCUCAUAGUUAUGAUUGUUGGUUAGAAAAGUCCUAAUAAAUCUAUAUUACUUUCAUUUCAAGUAAAAUUGAGUUCUUUAUUGCAUUAUCUUUAAUGAACUAAGAUGUUGACUCUGUUUUUACAAGCUUUUCAUAUAUAUUCCGUGUCCUUACUGCUUUAUAAUGAGUUAGUAUUUCAUGAGUUGAGCAGCACCAAGGAAAUAUAUUCUUAAUCCUCUCAAACUUUAAGUUGUUGUUUAGUUUUACCAACUAGCAUACUCAUACAUUCAAUGUACUGAUGGUAGUUGGCCUACAUCGUCUUAUGAUGUAGAUGCAGGAAACCCAAUCAACAUCCAACGCCUUGUUGAUCGAGUUGAGCACUCGGGGUCAGUGAUGAGCCUCCUUGUAUUCCAGAGGACACUUUCAAUGUGUUUUCUAAUAUUUCAUUUAUAGGAUGGUGUGGGGUCUGUCCCAACAUCCAACUAGUAUAUUAGAGUCAGAUAAUUCACUUUUGGGUCUCUCCUUAUUCAGAGAUGUUUCAUAUUGAUACUUGAGUGUCGUUUUGGCCAGACUAAUAUAAUUGAGUAUUUCUCUUGAGAAUGUUUCUUUUUAAUAGUUGAGUUGAGCUAAGUCUUCCGCUUAGUUAAGUAAGCUAGACCAAUGGUUUGCUCAAGGCGAGCAAUAGUCAUUGGGUGCCGACCAUGUGCAGGGUGUAGUCUUCGGGCGUGACAUACUUUCUAAAAUAAUUUUUUUUAUGAUUUUUAAAUCCUU